AGAGUUUGAUCCUGGCUCAGGAUGAACGCUAGCGGCAGGCCUAACACAUGCAAGUCGAGGGGUAAUCCCGCUUUCGGGCGGGAACGACCGGCGCACGGGUGAGUAACGCGUAUGCAACCUACCUUUAACUGGGGGAUAGCCCGAAGAAAUUCGGAUUAAUACCCCAUAUAACUAUAGAUAAGCAUUUAUUUAUAUUAAAAACUCCGGUGGUUAAAGAUGGGCAUGCGUAACAUUAGUUAGUUGGUGAGGUAACGGCUCACCAAGACUACGAUGUUCAGGGGGCCUGAGAGGGUGGUCCCCCACACUGGUACUGAGACACGGACCAGACUCCUACGGGAGGCAGCAGUGAGGAAUAUUGCGCAAUGGAGGCAACUCUGACGCAGCCAUGCCGCGUGCAGGAUGACGGCCCUACGGGUUGUAAACUGCUUUUAUACAGGAAGAACUUUCCGCACGUGUGCGGGAUUGACGGUACUGUACGAAUAAGCACCGGCUAACUCCGUGCCAGCAGCCGCGGUAAUACGGAGGGUGCAAGCGUUAUCCGGAUUUAUUGGGUUUAAAGGGUGCGUAGGCGGGAUAAUAAGUCAGUGGUGAAAUACUGCAGCUCAACUGUAGAACUGCCAUUGAUACUGUUAUUCUUGAGUUCGAUUGAGGUAGGCGGAAUGUGUAAUGUAGCGGUGAAAUGCUUAGAUAUUACACAGAACACCGAUUGCGUAGGCAGCUUACUAAGUCGACACUGACGCUGAGGCACGAAAGCGUGGGGAGCGAACAGGAUUAGAUACCCUGGUAGUCCACGCUGUAAACUAUGAUCACUAGCUGUUGGCGAUACAUCGAUCAGCGGCAAAGCGAAAGCAUUAAGUGAUCCACCUGGGGAGUACGGUCGCAAGAUUGAAACUCAAAGGAAUUGACGGGGGCCCGCACAAGCGGUGGAACAUGUGGUUUAAUUCGAUGAUACGCGAGGAACCUUACCUGGGCUUAAAUGCAGAUUGACGUUUCGGGAAACCGGAAUUCUCUUCGGAGCGAUUUGCAAGGUGCUGCAUGGUUGUCGUCAGCUCGUGCCGUGAGGUGUCGGGUUAAGUCCCAUAACGAGCGCAACCCCUAUCGUUAGUUGCCAGCGGAUAAUGCCGGGGACUCUAACGAAACUGCCGGUGUAAACCGAGAGGAAGGUGGGGAUGACGUCAAAUCAGCACGGCCCUUAUGUCCAGGGCUACACACGUGUUACAAUGGUCGGUACAGAGGGCAGCUACCUGGUGACAGGAUGCUAAUCUCGAAAGCCGGUCUUAGUUCGGAUCGAAGUCUGCAACUCGACUUCGUGAAGCUGGAAUCGCUAGUAAUCGCGUAUCAGCAACGACGCGGUGAAUACGUUCCCGGGCCUUGUACACACCGCCCGUCAAGCCAUGGAAGCUGGGGGUACCUGAAGUCUGUAACCGCAGGGAGCGGCCUAGGGUAAAACUAGUGACUGGGGCUAAGUCGUAACAAGGUA
rnacentral:rRNA from 1 species